UUUUUUUAAUAUUAUUUAUUAAUGUUUUUGAGUAAAUUUUCAACUUGAUCCGAGAAUGGGAAGUUGGAGAAAUAAGGUGUAAAACAUUUGUACCAGACAGACAGACGGACUGAGCUGACACAAGCUUUGUAAAAAGAUGUGUUCAAAUAUUAACAUUAUAUGCUCAAUUCAUACUUACAAGUUCUCAAAAUGGUCCUCCACAUCUCAAAUAGAAUCAGACACCGACACAUCCACACUGAUACACACAGACACAAUGACAGACACAUACAUGUGCCUCAUUAACAAGCAAGUUAUUUUAUUAAAGAUGAUCUUGGGGGAUAGAAAGUCCAAACCAUUUUUAAAAUAUGUUUUUAAAGGCAUAUUCAUCAGAGACGUUUCAUAUUUCAAAAGAAAAAAUUGUCUUUCAAUAAAUUCAAACUGUUUUUAAAGUUACACAGUUGUGGACCAUGAGAGUAAAGACUGUGAAAUGCUGACACUGGAAAGUUUCAGUAAGUCAAAUAAAAUUCAUUACAACAGAACUUUUCCCAUGUAUUCAGUUUAUACACAAAUUACCUAAUUAUUAUAUUAAAGAAUAAUUAAGGACUAUACAAUUAGGCUCAAUAAAAGAGGGACUGGAUUUUUUGUUUGUUUCAAAAUAAUAAAAAUAAAAAUAUUUUCAUUGAACAAUUUAUUUGAUUGACUAGAUAUAGUUCUUUUUUUUUUUUAGAAUUCAAAAAUAUGUUUACACAAAUUGUACUUCAAAAGCUAGAAAUACAUAAAAUGUUUAUAUUGUAAGGGUAAAAAAUGUUAUUUGUUUACUAUUAGGCCUAUAUGUUAUAAAUAAACAAAUCAAAAACAUUAUAGAUACAUUUUUUUUGGAGUCAUUAAUGAAAAGCUACAUCAUCAACAAAGAUAUUACACACUCAAUUCUAUUUUUAAAAGUUUUUCUAUCUUAUUUAUGGCAGAAGUUAUUUCCUGAAUAGUAGAGUAUCAUGUUUGAAAAAUAAAAAUUUCAGCUAUGAAUAAAUGUUAUCCUAAAAUAUGAACAAACCAAUUAAAAAUUGGUUGUAUGCAUAUUCCAAAUGUCAUUUUAAAGUUUCAUUUUUUUUCCAAUCUGACCUACUUUAUAGCCAAUGUCUCGUUAAAAAUUCAGACUGCAUUGAUCAGACUGCUACUUCUAGACAAGUAAAUUUCAUUUAAAAAAUUUAAAAGAAGUAAAAUCUACAUGAAUUACCAGAAAAGUGGAUGUCUUGAAACAGUGUUCAAAUUUAAACCUACACCAGUGAAAACAUUAAAACAAAUGGAAGGAAUUGAGCCUUAAAAAAUGGUGAAGAAAACAUAGACAUAGAAAAUAUAGAAAUAAAAAACAAAGAUAUAUAAAAAACAACAACAUAGACAUAGAGAGCAUAGACUAAGAAAAACAAAGUUCUAAAAAGAUUUGAUAUUUAAACAUAAAUAGUAUAAUAAUUUUUUUAAACAAUGUAAUCAUUAUAUCUUUUUAACAAGAAGAAACAAUUUCAAAUUGUAACUUAAAUCAUUGUUCUAGAUUGUCCAAUGAGACACAGAACAUUCUAUUAUCCCAAGGACCUAAAGACAGCAGACCAUUCGUUGUGGACAAAGUUAGGUUUCACCCCGAGUAGGAGACUGAGAACAAGAGCCUGACUGUAAACUUGAUAAGCCCUAAGCUAUUUGACAAAUGGGGCCAUUUGUGAUCAACAUAAAACCAUUUAUUCCUUUACCAUAAUAUCAAUGUUAUAGUGAUCAAGGAAAAGAUAAAAGAAUGUAACAUAAUUACUAUAAAUGUAGGAUCACUUAAAUAAAUGUAACAUUACUUAAAUGAAUGUAACAUCACUUAAAUGAAUGUAACAUCCCUUAUAUGAAUGUAACAUCACUCAAAUGAAUGUAACCACUCAAAUGAAUGUAUCAUCCCUCAAAUGAAUGUAACAUCC